rnacentral:rRNA from 1 species
UGGGGAAUAUUUGACAAUGGAGGCAACUCUGAUCCAGCAAUUCUGUGUGUGUGAAGAAGGUUUUAGGACUGUAAAACACUUUUAGUAGGGAAGAAAGAAAUGACGGUACCUACAGAAGAAGCGACGGCUAAAUACGUGCCAGCAGCCGCGGUAAUACGUAUGUCGCGAGCGUUAUCCGGAAUUAUUGGGCUUAAAGGGCAUCUAGGCGGUUAAACAAGUUGAAGGUGAAAACCUGUGGCUCAACCAUAGGCUUGCCUACAAAACUGUAUAACUAGAGUACUGGAAAGGUGGGUGGAACUACACGAGUAGAGGUGAAAUUCGUAGAUAUGUGUAGGAAUGCCGAUGAUGAAGAUAACUCACUGGACAGCAACUGACGCUGAAGUGCGAAAGCUAGGGGAGCAAACAGG